rnacentral:pre_miRNA from 1 species
AAAAAAAAAACCCGUAGAUUCCCGUGCCAACGUUUGACUGUCCGUCUUAUAUGAAAUUUUUUUAUAAUUAGUAUUUUCAUUGUUGUUUAAUGAUAUAACAUGAUUAAUACUUUAUGCGUGACUUAUCUUUUUAAUUUUUUUUCAUAACUUUUUUAAAUAAGACGACUAAGGUUUG